AACAGUGGUGGCCACUCUGGCUGCCUCCUCCUUCCUGGCUGGCUUGGGCCCUACUGGAGUUCAGGCUUCAGAGAGGCCUACACGGAGGCCUCCGUGGAAGCAUCGCCCACCCGCCGAUCAGCUGAGAGGCGGGAGAAAAGGAGCUCUUUGCAGCUUGUCUGCCGCCUGGAUUGCCGGCCAGGAGAACAAGCUGGAGAGACGGCGAACAGGGCAAGUGGCUGAGGGGCCUUGGGGCUGGGCAGGGGGCAAUGGGAAGUCACGUGAGGUGCCUCUGGGGGGCCCCUCCAGGCAGUGGGGCCCCCAGACAACUGUCUCCCCUUGCCCGAUCGUUGUUACACACCUGCUUAGUCAGAAGCCAUGUGCAUGCCACCGCACAUGCAGGAAACAGUGCUGCAGCCACAUGCAGCCUCUUGGAGAGUGGGCACUACUGCUGGAAAAGUGGUGAGGUGGCGGAUGAGCUGGUCCAGCUCCUUAUUUACAUAGAAAGGUUAUAGAUGCUAGCAUUUCCUUCUGUCUAGGAAUGCAGGGUCCCCUUCCCCCAGGUGGCUCAACAUUCAAGACAGUCUUCAUGGGAUAAGUUUCCUUUAGGAGGAGGAGCAUUGGAAUUCAGGUCCAGCAUCAGGGGUCAGCAUCGCUGUCACUGCAGAGAACUUAAGGCUCUCUGAAGAGCCCGCUGCUCAUGGGUGAUUCUUCCAGGAGGCGUACCCAUGCAUGGCAGCUCUCAUGAGAGUUUGCGAGUGAACUGCCAGCAGGGGGAGAGGAAAGCGCCAGCGCUAUUGGACGGGCUUGCAGACAAGUGGCUAACACAUAGCAAGCAUGACAUGUAACAAGAAACUGAUGCAAAGCCUCAAAGCAAUGCAAGAACAUGCCUUUCUUUUGACCGACAAGCACAGAUGCAGAGACCUGUGAAAUAAUCCUCCAUUUGGCAACCAGCACUUAACUAAAUAAAAAUGUGUCCAUUUUUUCUUUCACCA